UUGGCCACCGCCCACUGCCAGAGAAAAUCCCCCAUCCUUCUCUCUUCAUUCUUCAUCUCCCCCAUGGCCCCAUCGCAUGGCCCGCCGUGCACCACCACCCUGUCACGCCCCUACUGGCCCUGCUCCACCGCGUAGCAUCUUCCGACCGAGUCGGACCAUCCGGCGGUGGGCACGAUGUCAUCUCGCGGAUCUGCCUGCCGCCACCGUCGCCUUCUCAACGCCACCUCGAGGUCCCCCAUGACGUGGUUGUCCCCGAUGAUCACCACCCUGACACUACUGUCCCCGACGAGCUCCUCCCCGACCGCCCCAUAUUCUUCUGCACCGCCCCCGCCCCCUCCCCUCCCGCCCCUCUAGCACUACGACGAGGAUAACGGCAUCCACCUCCCCGCUAGAUCAAGAUCGUGCCCACCACCUCGACUUCUCUCCAAAGAUCCUGCAAGCGAUGCUCGUCUCUGUGAUUUGCUUGUCAAGAAAUUAUGCAUAGAUUACUUCAGUACUACCCUCGGCUAGCUUGCCGUUGUGGCAGAAUAUCGGUUUCCCCUUUACACAUCCGCUCCUGCAGGUUUAGUAGUACAUGUAUAUUCCUUUUGGUGUUUCAGCUUGCACGUUAUGUCCAGAUCCAGAGCUUACAGGUCUAUCAAUUUAGAUGUUCAGCAUGCCCGUUAUGUCCAGAUCCAGAACUUAAAAGUAGCAUUUUCACAUACAAGAUCUAGUGAGUAAAUCUUUUAAGUUCACGUUCAGAAUUAAAGACAGAUAUAUGGAUGCUAUGAUGCAGGUUGUCCAUGCUAACAGUGGCGGAGCUUGAAAGAAAUCUUAGGAGGGGCGAAGGUAGAACAAAAUAUCAAUUACAAAAUCAUACAGGUAUAAGGGAUGCAAGUGGAGGCAUCUGCAAGUCCGCAAAGCAAAAAUUGCAUUAAUCUUUGUUAGUUUAACAACCCUGUUAGAUUAUGUUUUCUGUUCGCAGUCACUCAUGGAUAUGUAGACGCCAUCCACUUAAAGAAGUUAGAUUUUGCAGAA